UCCUCCUUUUUUCGCUGGACAAUAGCAGUAUAAUGCUCUACCACAUCCCACAAGAGGGCAGUGUCAUUCCAGUAAGAGUCAUUCUGUUCUUCUGUUCUUCCUCAUCUGCAGUGCUCCAGAGAUAUAUAACAUGACUGGGAACUGCUGACUAGGAGACAGUGACCUUCAGACUGAGAAGAGCCAAGACUUCAAAGAGGAAUGUACAGUAUCCUCCUCUGCUCUGCACCAGAUAGACUCCCCCUAUUACAAGUGAUGCCCCAACACACCAGGAGGGUGAAGACUCACACCUGCUUCCUCUACUAUGUGAAGUCAGCCACCGCCACUUUUUGAACUGCUGCUGAUGCAGCAUUGCCAAGUAGCAUUACAGUGCAUUCGGAGGAAAGUGCAGCGACUCAGAGCAAUGCCAAUUGUGCUCUCUCAGGGCUCCGGUAGCUGAUGGCAAGCUACAUAACCAGGAUUCAAACCUGCGAUCUCCUGAUCUUAGUGGCAGCGCUUAGCAUGCUGGACCACUUGGAGCCCCCUAGUGCAAUAUGGCUUGGCACUCUAUCCUGGGUAAAAUGCUGUAGUACCUGAUGCAGUCCUCCAGGUGGACGGUUGUUUCCGGUUGAGAGUACGCUGUGCACUAUUGGCUGCUGCUUCUCACCAGUGUGUGGAUGAGGUAUGUGCUGGGUAUAAAUGGUUGUGUGUAAACUGUAAAGCGUCCUUGGAUUUGUAGAAAGGCAAUAUAUAAGUGUAACUUUAUUCAUUCACACAUUCUUUCUUUCCUGGAGCUGUGCUGAUGAGAGCCACUUUCAUCAAAACCUUGUUGAUGGUCUUUGCGAAUGCACUCGAGGGGAUUUUUUUUUUUUUUACAGUUGAUAUUUACAUGUGUCCCUUAAUUAUUGUAUGUCUUUAAUCUACAAUGUAGAAAAUCAAUUAAAUAAAAAAUCCAAAAUUUAAAGUGGUGCUGUAUGU
rnacentral:lncRNA from 1 species